GAUGAACGCUAGCGGCAGGCCUAAUACAUGCAAGUCGAACGGGAUCCAGAUCAAAGCUUGCUUUGGUCUGGUGAGAGUGGCGCACGGGUGCGUAACGCGUGAGCAACCUACCCUUGUCAGGGGGAUAGCCCGGCGAAAGUCGGAUUAAUACCGCAUGACAUCAUUGAGAGGCAUCUUUCGAUGAUCAAAGAUUUAUCGGACAAGGAUGGGCUCGCGUGACAUUAGCUAGUUGGUAAGGUAACGGCUUACCAAGGCUGCGAUGUCUAGGGGCUCUGAGAGGAGAAUCCCCCAGACUGGUACUGAGACACGGACCAGACUCCUACGGGAGGCAGCAGUAAGGAAUAUUGGUCAAUGGACGGAAGUCUGAACCAGCCAUGCCGCGUGCAGGAAGACGGCCCUAUGGGUUGUAAACUGCUUUUAUACGGGAACAAACGUCGGUACGUGUACCGGUCUGAGUGUACCGUAAGAAUAAGGAUCGGCUAACUCCGUG
rnacentral:rRNA from 1 species